AAUACCUUAAAUUUGUUGCUGAUGGAGAUUCAAGUGUUUUCUAUCGCAUUCAACAAACGGUGUCUUACGGAGGGCAGGUGGAAAAAUUAGAAUGCGUUAAUCAUGCUAUAAAGAAUUACGGCAAAUCUUUGUACAAGAUCAAGGCAGAUACAUCGAUAAACAUCCAAGGCCGAAAAUACCUAACAAAGCCAAUAAUAACGGAAUUGCAAAAGGGUGCGUACAAAGCCAUAAAGAAAUAUUCGGGCGACGUAAAUAAAAUGAAAGCGGAGAUCAGCAACUCAAUUAUGCAUGUUUUCGAACAUCAUGAAAAGUGUUGUGAUGAUUAUUGCGAUAAAAAAGGGGUUGUUGAGCUAAGUCCAAUUCCGCACCUGAAGCGCACUGGUUUGUUGUACCACAUAAACGGAGCACUUGAAAACUUAUUGGUAAAAGCGCAUCGACUAGUGGCGAAAGAAACAAACAAUAGAGCCGAGUUAUAUAUGUCAUUGUUGGCAAAACUGAAUUGUGGAAAACGUUUGAAUUUGACGCAAUGAAAUUCUUUCCAAAACAGAGCAUAUAUAACCGGCUUGCGUUACAAUGAAGGUGUAUCAUGGCAACAACGGGGAUUACAAG